GACGUAGGGCGCGAGCGUUGUCCGGAUUUAUUGGGCGUAAAGAGCUCGUAGGCGGCUUGUCGCGUCGAAUGUGAAAUUUCAGGGCUCAACUCUGACAUUGCAUUCGAUACGGGCAGGCUCGAGUUCGGUAGGGGAGACUGGAAUUCCUGGUGUAGCGGUGAAAUGCGCAGAUAUCAGGAGGAACACCGGUGGCGAAGGCGGGUCGCUGGGCCGAUACUGACGCUGAGGAGCGAAAGCGUGGGGAGCGAACAGG
rnacentral:rRNA from 1 species